CCUACGGGAGGCUGCAGUGGGGAAUAUUGCACAAUGGGGGAAACCCUGAUGCAGCGACGCCGCGUGAGUGAAGAAGUAACUCGUUAUUUAAAGCUCCAUCUGCAGGGAAGAAAAUGACGGUACCUGAGUAAGAAGCCCAGGCUAACUACGUGCCAGAAGCCGUGGUAAUACGUAGGGGGCAAGCGUGAUCCGGAUUUACUGGGUGUAAAGGGAGCGUAGACGGCAGGGGAAGUCCGGCGUGAAAGGCGGGGGCUCAACCCCCGAACUGCUCUGGAAACUGUACGGCUGGAGUGCAGGAGAGGUAAGUGGAAUGCAUGGUGUAGCGGUGAAAUGCGUAGAUAUUAGGAAGAACACCGAUUGCGAAGGCAGCUUACUGGACUGUAACUGACGUUGAGGCACGAAAGCGUGGGGAGCAAACAGGAUUAGAUACCCUUGUAGUC
rnacentral:rRNA from 1 species